CUUUUGACGGUGGAUCUCUUGGCUCACGCAUCGAUGAAGAACGCAGCCAGCUGCGAUAAGUAGUGUGAAUUGCAGAAUUCAGUGAAUCAUCGAGUCUUUGAACGCAAAUGGCGCUCUUGGGUUCUCCCAAGAGCAUGUCUGUCUGAGUGUC
rnacentral:rRNA from 1 species